rnacentral:rRNA from 1 species
AGUGAACGCUGGCGGUAGGCCUAACACAUGCAAGUCGAACGGCAGCACAGUAAGAGCUUGCUCUUACGGGUGGCGAGUGGCGGACGGGUGAGGAAUACAUCGGAAUCUACUUUUUCGUGGGGGAUAACGUAGGGAAACUUACGCUAAUACCGCAUACGACCUACGGGUGAAAGCAGGGGAUCUUCGGACCUUUCGCGAUUGAAUGAGCCGAUGUCGGAUUAGCUAGUUGGCGGGGUAAAGGCCCACCAAGGCGACGAUCCGUAGCUGGUCUGAGAGGAUGAUCAGCCACACUGGAACUGAGACACGGUCCAGACUCCUACGGGAGGCAGCAGUGGGGAAUAUUGGACAAUGGGCGCAAGCCUGAUCCAGCCAUACCGCGUGGGUGAAGAAGGCCUUCGGGUUGUAAAGCCCUUUUGUUGGGAAAGAAAAGCAGCAGGUUAAUACCCCGCUGUUCUGACGGUACCCAAAGAAUAAGCACCGGCUAACUUCGUA